GUGGGGAAUAUUGGACAAUGGGCGAAAGCCUGAUCCAGCCAUGCCGCGUGUGUGAAGAAGGUCUUCGGAUUGUAAAGCACUUUAAGUUGGGAGGAAGGGCAGUAAGUUAAUACCUUGCUGUUUUGACGUUACCAACAGAAUAAGCACCGGCUAACUUCGUGCCAGCAGCCGCGGUAAUACGACGGGUGCAAGCGUUAAUCGGAAUUACUGGGCGUAAAGCGCGCGUAGGUGGUUUUGUAAGUUGGAGGUGAAAUCCCCGGGCUCAACCUGGGAACUGCCUCCAAAACUACUGAGCUAGAGUACGGUAGAGGGUAGUGGAAUUUCCUGUGUAGCGGUGAAAUGCGUAGAUAUAGGAAGGAACACCAGUGGCGAAGGCGACUACCUGGACUGAUACUGACACUGAGGUGCGAAAGCGUGGGGAGCAAACAGGAUUAGAUACCCCUGUAGUCC
rnacentral:rRNA from 1 species